rnacentral:rRNA from 1 species
AUUGAACGCUCGCGGGAUGCUUUACACAUGCAAGUCGAACGGCAGCGCGGACUUCGGUCUGGCGGCGAGUGGCGAACGGGUGAGUAAUGUAUCGGAACGUGCCCAGUAGCGGGGGAUAACUACGCGAAAGCGUAGCUAAUACCGCAUACGCCCUACGGGGGAAAGCAGGGGAUCGUAAGACCUUGCACUAUUGGAGCUGCCGAUAUCGGAUUAGCUAGUUGGUGAGGUAACGGCUCACCAAGGCGACGAUCCGUAGCUGGUUUGAGAGGACGACCAGCCACACUGGGACUGAGACACGGCCCAGACUCCUACGGGAGGCAGCAGUGGGGAAUUUUGGACAAUGGGGGCAACCCUGAUCCAGCCAUCCCGCGUGUGCGAUGAAGGCCUUCGGGUUGUAAAGCACUUUUGGCAGGAAAGAAACGUCGCGGGCUAAUACCCCGUGGAACUGACGGUACCUGCAGAAUAAGCACCGGCUAACUACGUG